UAAACAUGCAGUCGACGGGCACUUCGGUGCUAGUGGCAGACGGGUGAGUAACACGUGGGAACGUACCUUUCGGUUCGGAAUAAUUCAGGGAAACUUGGACUAAUACCGGAUACGCCCUUUGGGGGAAAGAUUUAUCGCCGAUAGAUCGGCCCGCGUCUGAUUAGCUAGUUGGUGAGGUAAAGGCUCACCAAGGCGACGAUCAGUAUCUGGUCUGAGAGGAUGAUCAGCCACGUUGGGACUGAGACACGGCCCAAGCUCCUACGGGAGGCAGCAGUGGGGAAUAUUGGACAAUGGGCGCAAGCCUGAUCCAGCCAUGCCGCGUGAGUGAUGAAGGCCUUAGGGUUGUAAAGCUCUUUUGUCCGGGAAGAUAAUGACUGUACCGGAAGAAUAAGCCCCGGCUAACUUCGUGCCAGCAGCCGCGGUAAUACGAAGGGGGCUAGCGUUGCUCGGAAUCACUGGGCGUAAAGGGCGCGUAGGCGGACUUUUAGGUCGGAGGUGAAAGCCCAGGGCUCAACCCUGGAAUUGCCUUCGAUACUGGGAGUCUUGAGUUCGGAAGAGGUUGGUGGAACUGCGAGUGUAGAGGUGAAAUUCGUAAAUGUUCGCAAGAACACCAGUGGCGAAGGCGGCCAACUGGUCCGAUACUGACGCUGAGGCGCGAAAGCGUGGGGAGCAAACAGGAUUAGAUACCCUGUGUAGUCCACGCCGUACACGAUGAAUGCCAGCCGUUGGAGAGCAUGCUCUUCAUUGGCGCAGCUGACGCUGUAAGCAUUCCGCCUGGUGAGUACGGUCGCAAGAUUAAAACUCAAAGGAAUUGA
rnacentral:rRNA from 1 species